CGCGCACACAGUGAGCGCGCGCGACGCUGUUUUACAACCACCACCACCCCGCCAACCUCGCAAUCCGGGCCCGGCCGCGGUUGCCAUGGAAACGGCGGGAAGCAACGCACCUCAUCCCGGCCAGGUGAGCCGAAGCUGCGCAGCUUUUUGCCUUGUGACAUGCAGAGGUCUGUGCAAUGAAGAGAGGCCAGCCACAAAAAACAUCCCUUGGGAAUCCACAGAUGUCUCCGUCCCGUGCUCGGAGUCCAAAGUCUCCUGCAAGCGCCCGUAGCAGGUCAUCGUCUCCGCUGAACAGAGAAGGGAUCCACCAGCCCACUGGGCGAAGCUAUCAAGGAGAGGUAGAUCAAGAAAGCGAUACAGGGCGGUGGUUCUCAACCUUUUUAAUGCCGCGACCCCCAACCGGUUGUAAGUCGAGG